UGGGGAAUUUUACGCAAUGGGGGAAACCCUGACGUAGCGACACCGCGUGAGCGAAGAAGCCUUUUGGGGUGUAAAGCUCUGUCAGCUGGAACGAACACAAUGACGGUACCAGCAGAGGAAGCAUCGGCUAACUACGUGCCAGCAGCCGCGGUAAGACGUAGGAUGCAAGCGUUGUCCGGAUUCAUUGGGCGUAAAGAGUUCGUAGGUGGUCUGUUAAGUUUGGUGUUAAAGAGCGGGGCCCAACCCCGAUAGUGCACUGAAUACUGUCAUACUUGAGUGUGUUAGAGGUAAGUGGAAUUCCAAGUGUAGCGGUGAAAUGCAUAGAUAUUUGGAAGAACACCGGUGGCGUAAGCGACUUACUGGGCCGUAACUGACACUGAGGAACGAAAGCCGGGGUAGCGAAUG
rnacentral:rRNA from 1 species